rnacentral:rRNA from 1 species
GACGAACGCUGGCGGCGUGCCUAAUACAUGCAAGUCGAGCGGACUGAUUAAGAGCUUGCUCUUAUGACGUUAGCGGCGGACGGGUGAGUAACACGUGGGCAACCUGCCCUGUAGAUCGGGAUAACACCGAGAAAUCGGUGCUAAUACCGGGUAAUAUCUGAGAUCACAUGAUCUUAGGUUAAAAGAUGGCUCCGGCUAUCACUACAGGAUGGGCCCGCGGCGCAUUAGCUAGUUGGUAAGGUAAUGGCUUACCAAGGCGACGAUGCGUAGCCGACCUGAGAGGGUGAUCGGCCACACUGGGACUGAGACACGGCCCAGACUCCUACGGGAGGCAGCAGUAGGGAAUCUUCCGCAAUGGACGAAAGUCUGACGGAGCAACGCCGCGUGAGUGAUGAAGGGUUUCGGCUCGUAAAGCUCUGUUGUUAGGGAGGAAACAGUACCGAACGAACUAGGUCGGUACCUUGACGGUACCUAACCAGAAAGCCACGGCUAACUACGUG